AUCCUUCUGUGGUUUAUAGUAUGAUGAUUAGGUUUUCACAUCAUGGUGUGACAUGUGCUUCCUUCAGACCUUAUUGCUUAGGUUGGCACAUUACCUGUCUGACA
rfam:Ictidomys tridecemlineatus contig055896, whole genome shotgun sequence.